UACGAAGGGGGCUAGCGUUGUUCGGAUUUACUGGGCGUAAAGCGCACGUAGGCGGAUUGUUAAGUCAGGGGUGAAAUCCUGGAGCUCAACUCCAGAACUGCCUUUGAUACUGGCAAUCUUGAGUCCGGAAGAGGUGAGUGGAACUCCUAGUGUAGAGGUGGAAUUCGUAGAUAUUAGGGGAGAACACCAGUGGCGAAGGCGGCUCACUGGUCCGGUACUGACGCUGAGGUGCGAAAGCGUGGGGAGCAAACAGG
rnacentral:rRNA from 1 species